UCUCUCUAUAUAUACUAUAUAACCACCAAUUUGCAUGACGAAGUGCCCCGCACGUAACGGAAGUGAUAUUAUGCUGAAACAGUGAAUAAACACAUCUAGAUAACCGUAGAACCGUUUUUCAUACCCUUCAACUAAUUACGAAAUGUUGCCGAUAUGAACAAUUAAAUUAAAUAUCAGCUUGCCUUGCCGAAGAUGACCUCAAUCCAUUUUCCUAGUCAAAGAAAAAUUUCGCUGACCUUUUGUAGAUCAUAUGCUAGAAAAGUAGUAAAAUCGCAGCGUAAACUUGAGUCACCUUUAUGUAGCAAAAGAUUGCCUUAAAAGGGCAAACUCUACCAAUGCCCAAAGAAGCAAUGGGACAGGACGAUGGCUAUUUAUUGAAAUUGUUAAAUCGUUACGAACUGCCAUAAGAACCUUAAUUAAAAGAAGGUUGUCGAAAAGUGCUCCGGUCUGCACAUGUGGAACCAGUCAUCUUAGUUAGUGCAGCCCCGGUAUUCCACGGUGAAAAGCAAGUUUGCAGUGUAGAAGACAAAUGGACCAUUUGUUCAUCAGUAUAUACAGUUAGUUAAAAGGAUACGAAAGGCUGGAUCAUUUAGUGAACGAAGUCGCAAGUGAAAUACUUGUUCAUUAUUAUGUUCUGGUAAAAAAACCAACUUUUAUUACUACAGCAGGAAAACAAACAAAAGUAACAUAUUGUUGGCAGAAAACACACAACCGAAAAAAACCUGUCUACUAGGAAAUGGAUCAUUUUGAUACUUCUGAUCCGUUAGAUACAUUGCAGAACAAAAGAUCGACCGAAAGGUUAUCAAUGACAAAAUCUCUCUGGACCCUUUUGUUCUCAUCUCUAUUCUGUCCAAACCAUCAUCAUCUAGUUCAAUUCUUCUUGGACUCUGGUUUGGAUGGAAUAGUCAAACAUUUAAUGCCGUACUCUUCCGUAAUCAUGGCAAUGACAUGUGCAACAAAGUUGCCGUAAACACCAAUGCAAAUUCCAACGUAGCAAAAAAAGUAUUCCGUCUGAACGUUUUUUAAUACGCCAAAAGUAUAGGCGUCCACGGCAUCCACCAAGAAUGGAAGAAUAAGCACAUUCCAGUAUGGGAAGGGAGAUUCGGUAAUGUGAGAAACAAUUACCACUCCAACCGAAUAAGCAAAGAUAAAAGCGUUCAAGCAAAAAAUAGUGAGGAAAUGAUGUUCAAAGAAAGCAGGAUACUUGGCAUAGAGUGAAAAGACAGCCAUCCAUUGGAGGAAAUAGGGAAGGAUACCACUCAAUGCUUUAAUCACACUUCCGUUGUUCUUUUGGACGGCUUGAAGAGCAUUUCGUAAACUUUGUAAGACAUUCAAUAGCAGGGCAAAUGCCAUAAAGUUGUACAAGCAUGAUCCAUAUGUGUAGUAUGGCAGAAAGGAACGUACAAAUCCCCAUGACUCGGGAGUGGGAUGUAGCUUGAGCCAGAAAGAAUCACCCUUAAUAGCUGUAAGGGCAAAUAGUCCAAUAACCAUUACAAUUCCUUCGACAGGACCCGAGA